UACGUAGGUGGCAAGCGUUGUCCGGAAUUAUUGGGCGUAAAGCGCGCGCAGGCGGUCCUUUAAGUCUGAUGUGAAAGCCCACGGCUCAACCGUGGAGGGUCAUUGGAAACUGGGGGACUUGAGUGCAGAAGAGGAAAGCGGAAUUCCACGUGUAGCGGUGAAAUGCGUAGAGAUGUGGAGGAACACCAAUAGCGAAGGCAGCUCGCUGGGACGUUACUGACACUGAGGCGCGAAAGCGUGGGGAGCGAACAGG
rnacentral:rRNA from 1 species